UCCAUUGGCUAUACCACCCACCAACACCAAGACUGGUUCAAUAAGGGUGUCAUUGAGAUCCGAGCCCUCCUCAACCAGAAGAGAAGGGCUCAUUCUGCCUGGCAAGUUGACAACUCAUUGCAGCAGAAGAAAGAGACAUCACCACUCCAA